rnacentral:rRNA from 1 species
UUCUACCUACGGGGCGCAGCAGUGGGGGAUAUUGGACAAUGGGGGGAACCCUGAUCCAGCGACGCCGCGUGAGUGAAGAAGUAUUUCGGUAUGUAAAGCUCUGUCAGCAGGGAAGAAAGCAAUGACGGUACCUGACCAAGAAGCCCCGGCUAACUACGUGCCAGCAGCCGCGGUAAUACGUAGGGGGCAAGCGUUAUCCGGAUUUACUGGGUGUAAAGGGAGCGUAGGGGGCAUGGUAAGCCAGAAGUGAAAACCCAGGGCUCAACUC